UACGUAGGGUGCGAGCGUUGUCCGGAAUUACUGGGCGUAAAGGGCUCGUAGGCGGCCAACUAAGUCGGAUGUGAAAUCCCCCAGGCUCAACCUGGGAACUGCAUCCGAUACUGGAUGGCUUGAAUUCGGGAGAGGGAUGCAGAAUUCCAGGUGUAGCGGUGAAAUGCGUAGAUAUCUGGAGGAAUACCGGUGGCGAAGGCGGCAUCCUGGACCGACAUUGACGCUGAGGAGCGAAAGCCAGGGGAGCAAACGGG
rnacentral:rRNA from 1 species